AUUGAACGCUGGCGGCAGGCUUAAAACAUGCAAGUCGAGCGAGCGGCGGACGGGUGAGUAAUGUUUGGGAACCUGGCUUAUGGAGGGGGAUAACUACUGGAAACUGUAGCUAAUACCGCGUACCAUAGGAUGGGCCCAGGUGGGAUUAGGUAGUUGGUGGGGUAAAGGCUCACCUAGGCGACGAUCCCUAGCUGGUCUGAGAGGAUGACCAGCCACACUGGAACUGAGACACGGCCCAGACUCCUACGGGAGGCAGCAGUGGGGAAUAUUGCGCAAUGGGCGCAAGCCUGAUGCAGCCAUGCCGCGUGUAUGAAGAAGGCCUUAGGGUUGUAAAGUACUUUCAGCGAGGAGGCGUUACUCGCAGAAGAAGCACCGGCUAACUCCGUGCCAGCAGCCGCGGUAAUUC
rnacentral:rRNA from 1 species